AUCAGGAUGACGAGUUCCAAAUAGGACGAAAUGUGCAUCCUGGAU
rnacentral:hammerhead_ribozyme from 1 species